AGCGAACGCUGGCGGCAGGCCUAACACAUGCAAGUCGAACGGACCCUUCGGGGUUAGUGGCGGACGGGUGAGUAACACGUGGGAACGUGCCUUUAGGUUCGGAAUAGCUCCUGGAAACGGGUGGUAAUGCCGAAUGUGCCCUUCGGGGGAAAGAUUUAUCGCCUUUAGAGCGGCCCGCGUCUGAUUAGCUAGUUGGUGAGGUAACGGCUCACCAAGGCGACGAUCAGUAGCUGAUCUGAGAGGAUGACCAGCCACACUGGGACUGAGACACGGCCCAGACUCCUACGGGAGGCAGCAGUGGGGAAUCUUGCGCAAUGGGCGAAAGCCUGACGCAGCCAUGCCGCGUGAAUGAUGAAGGUCUUAGGAUUGUAAAAUUCUUUCACCGGGGACGAUAAUGACGGUACCCGGAGAAGAAGCCCCGGCUAACUUCGUG
rnacentral:rRNA from 1 species